CAGCCGCCGCGGUAAUACAGAGGGUGCGAGCGUUAAUCGGAUUUACUGGGCGUAAAGCGUGCGUAGGCGGCUUCUUAAGUCGGAUGUGAAAUCCCUGAGCUUAACUUAGGAAUUGCAUUCGAUACUGGGAAGCUAAAGUAUGGGAGAGGAUGGUAGAAUUCCAGGUGUAGCGGUGAAAUGCGUAGAGAUCUGGAGGAAUACCGAUGGCGAAGGCAGCCAUCUGGCCUAAUACUGACGCUGAGGUACGAAAGCAUGGGGAGCAAACAGGAUUAGAUACCCCUGUAGUCCCUGUCUCUUAUAC
rnacentral:rRNA from 1 species